rnacentral:lncRNA from 1 species
CUGGGGAGAAAGACGGUUUGCUGAGAUAACUUUAAGUCUUGCUAUUAUCUUGUAUUAUACUUUUAUACUUUUAUUCUUUUAUCUUUUUAUUUUUUCCAUCUUUAUGGAUAACUUAAACUCCAUACCUAUUAUUGAAUUCUUUGCACCUUCGGAGACCAGCCAUAGACCAUGGGAGUCAACAAGUCCUGCCCCUAAUUAUGAUCUGUGUCCAGAGUUGAUUGCAAUAGGUCAAAACCAACCCUUUUCUAUAGCUGAGGUCCUAUCUUUUAAUCAAAAAGAUAAUGAACUUUUAGCUACACCUAGGGAAUCUGUUAAUCUUUCUAUAAAUUCUGGUUUAAACCUAGCCCUACAAGACCAUGUUUUUCCUCGAUAUUUUCACAUUGGUCUAAAUCAUAUAACCUUUGGUAGAGUUUUUCUUUCUUUAUCUGUUAGUAAAGGAAGGUAUGUCUUCAUUUGUGG